rnacentral:rRNA from 1 species
GCAUAUCAAUAAGCGGAGGAAAAGAAACCAACAGGGAUUGCCCUAGUAACGGCGAGUGAAGCGGCAACAGCUCAAAUUUGAAAUCUGGCGUCUUUGGCGUCCGAGUUGUAAUUUGCAGAGGGCGCUUUGGCAUUGGCAGCGGUCCAAGUUCCUUGGAACAGGACGUCACAGAGGGUGAGAAUCCCGUACGUGGUCGCUAGCCUUUACCGUGUAAAGCCCCUUCGACGAGUCGAGUUGUUUGGGAAUGCAGCUCUAAAUGGGAGGUAAAUUUCUUCUAAAGCUAAAUACUGGCCAGAGACCGAUAGCGCACAAGUAGAGUGAUCGAAAGAUGAAAAGCACUUUGGAAAGAGAGUUAAAAAGCACGUGAAAUUGUUGAAAGGGAAGCGCUUGCAGCCAGACUUGCCUGUAGUUGCUCAUCCGGGUUUUUACCCGGUGCACUCUUCUAUAGGCAGGCCAGCAUCAGUUUGGGCGGUUGGAUAAAGGUCUCUGUCACGUACCUCCUCUCGGGGAGAACUUAUAGGGGAGACGUAAUGCAACCAGCCUGGACUGAGGUCCGCGCAUCUGCUAGGAUGCUGGCGUAAUGGCUGUAAGCGGCCCGUCUUGAAACACGGACCAAGGAGUCUAACAUCUAUGCGAGUGUUUGGGUGUCAAGCCCGAGCGCGUAAUGAAAGUGAACGGAGGUGGGAACCUUUCGGGGUGCACCAUCGACCGAUCCUGAUGUCUUCGGAUGGAUUUGAGUAAGAGCAUAGCUGUUGGGACCCGAAAGAUGGUGAACUAUGCUUGAAUAGGGUGAAGCCAGAGGAAACUCUGGUGGAGGCUCGCAGCGGUUCUGACGUGCAAAUCGAUCGUCAAAUUUGGGCAUAGGGGGCGAAAGACUAAUCGAACUAUCUAGUAGCUGGUUCCUGCGA